UACAGAGGGGGCGAGCGCUGUUCGGAAUUACUGGGCGUAAAGGGCGCGUAGGCGGCCUUCUAAGUCGAACGUGAAAUCCCCGGGCUCAACCCGGGAACUGCGUCCGAUACUGGGAGGCUUGAAUCCGGGAGAGGGAUGUGGAAUUCCAGGUGUAGCGGUGAAAUGCGUAGAUAUCUGGAGGAACACCGGUGGCGAAGGCGGCAUCCUGGACCGGUAUUGACGCUGAGGCGCGAAAGCCAGGGGAGCAAACGGG
rnacentral:rRNA from 1 species